rnacentral:rRNA from 1 species
UCAGAUGUGAAAUUCCCCGGGCUUAACCUGGGAACUGCAUCUGAUACUGUUAAGCUAGAGUAGGUGAGAGGGAAGUAGAAUUCCAGGUGUAGCGGUGAAAUGCGUAGAGAUCUGGAGGAAUACCGAUGGCGAAGGCAGCUUCCUGGCAUCAUACUGACACUGAGGCUCGAAAGCGUGGGUAGCAAACAGGAUUAGAUACCCUGGUAGUCCACGCCGUAAACGAUGUCUACUAGUCGUUGGGUCCCUUGAGGACUUAGUGACGCAGCUAACGCAAUAAGUAGACCGCCUGGGGAGUACGGCCGCAAGGUUAAAACUCAAAUGAAUUGACGGGGGCCCGCACAAGCGGUGGAGCAUGUGGUUUAAUUCGAUGCAACGCGAAGAACCUUACCUGGUCUUGACAUACACAGAAUCUUGUAGAGAUACGAGAGUGCCUUCGGGAAUUGUGAUACAGGUGCUGCAUGGCUGUCGUCAGCUCGUGUCGUGAGAUGUUGGGUUAAGUCCCGCAACGAGCGCAACCCUUGUCCUUAGUUACCAGCGGGUUAAGCCGGGAACUCUAAGGAUACUGCCAGUGACAAACUGGAGGAAGGCGGGGACGACGUCAAGUCAUCAUGGCCCUUACGACCAGGGCUACACACGUGCUACAAUGGUAGGUACAGAGGGCAGCUACACAGCGAUGUGAUGCGAAUCUCAAAAAGCCUAUCGUAGUCCAGAUUGGAGUCUGCAACUCGACUCCAUGAAGUAGGAAUCGCUAGUAAUCGCGGAUCAGAAUGCCGCGGUGAAUACGUUCCCGGGCCUUGUACACACCGCC